rnacentral:sRNA from 1 species
GCUGGGUGCAGUGGCACUCGCCUGUAGUCCCAGCAACUCGGGAGGCUGAGGCUAGGGAUUGCAAGUUCAAGGCCAGCCUCAGCAACUUAGGCCUUGAACAACUUAGUGAGACCCUGUCUCAA